rnacentral:rRNA from 1 species
CUACGGGUCGCACCAGUGGGGAAUAUUGCACAAUGGAGGAAACUCUGAUGCAGCCAUGCCGCGUGUGUGAAGAAGGCCCGAGGGUUGUAAAGCACUUUCAAUUGGGAGGAAGGUAGUGUAGUUAAUACCUGCAUUAUUUGACGUUACCUUUAGAAGAAGCACCGGCUAACUCUGUGCCAGCAGCCGCGGUAAUACAGAGGGUGCAAGCGUUAUUCGGAAUUACUGGGCGUAAAGCGCGCGUAGGCGGACUGUUAAGUCGGUUGUGAAAGCCCUGGGCUCAACCUGGGAACUGCAUCCGAUACUGGCAAUCUAGAGUUUAAGAGAGGAAAGUGGAAUUCCUAGUGUAGCAGUGAAAUGCGUAGAUAUUAGGAGGAACAUCAGUGGCGAAGGCGACUUUCUGGCUUAAAACUGACGCUGAGGUGCGAAAGCGUGGGUAGCGAACGGGAUUAGAUACCCGCGUAGUC